GGCCCCGCACAAGCGGUGGAGCAUGUGGUUUAAUUCGAUGAUACGCGAGGAACCUUACCAGGGCUUAAAUGUAAGUUGCAUUAGUUAGAGAUAGCUAUUUCUUCGGACUACUUACAAGGUGCUGCAUGGUUGUCGUCAGCUCGUGCCGUGAGGUGUCAGGUUAAGUCCUAUAACGAGCGCAACCCCUGUUGUUAGUUGCCAUCGAGUCAUGUCGGGAACUCUAACAAGACUGCCGGUGCAAACCGUGAGGAAGGUGGGGAUGACGUCAAAUCAUCACGGCCCUUACGUCCUGGCUACACACGUGCUACAAUGGCCGGUACAGAGGGGAGCGAGACUGUGAAGUGGAGCG
rnacentral:rRNA from 1 species